UCCCUCGCAAUUACGCCAGGAACCGGAUCGGAAUGGUCGUCCCUCCCGCCGCCGCGCCGCGCCGCGGAUGCGAUGCCGCCGCCGCCGCGCCUGCCGUCGCUAGCAGCCCUAGUCACCCGCCACCCUCACCAACUACCCGCCUCCGCCUCCGCCUCCGCCUCCUAUCCCUCAGCCUCCACGCUCCCUGCCUACCGCGCGCUCAUCCGCGACCUCUUCUCCGCCGGCCGUCUCGACGACGUCGACGCCGCCCUCGACUCCGCGCGCUCCCGCCUCGCCCCAGGCUCCCUCCAACCGCUCUACGUGACCUGCAUCCAAGCCUACGCCCGCGCCGGCCGCCUCCGUGCCGCCGUCGACACCUUCGAGCGCAUGGACCUCUUCGGCAGUCCGCCCGCCACCCCAGCCUACAACGCCAUCAUGGACGCCCUCGUCAACGCCGCCUACCACGACCAAGCUCACAAGGUCUACGUCAGGAUGCUAGCCGCCGGCGUUCCUCCCGACGCCCGCACCCACACCGUCCGCCUCAAAUCCUUCUGCCUCACCGGCCGCCCGCACGUCGCGCUGCGCCUGCUGCGCACCUUGCCGGAGCGUGGGUGUGACUCCCAACCCGUCGCCUACUGCACGGUCGUGCGGGGGUUCUAUGCCAGCGGCCACGGUCACGAUGCACGUCGCCUGUUCGAUGAAAUGCUCGGCAGGGAUGUCUUCCCUGACGUUGCCUCUUUCAACAAUGUUUUGCACGCUCUUUGCCUCAAUGGGGAUAUCUUCGAGUCUGGGGCACUUCUCGCCAAGGUCCUCAAGCGGGGGAUGCCGGUAAACAAGUUCACCUACAACAUAUGGAUCCGCGGGCUCUCUGAAGGCGGCAGGUUGGGAGAGGCUGUUGCGCUCGUGGAAAGGAUGGACUCCCACAUUUUGCCAGAUGUUGUCACCUACAACACAUUGAUACGUGGCCUUUGUAAGGACUCCAAGGUCUGGGAAGCUGCACAAUAUCUUCGUAGGAUGAUCAACCGGGGCUGCAUCCCAGAUGAUUUCACCUACAACACCAUCAUCGAUGGCUACUGCAAGAAGGGCAUGCUGCAGGAAGCUACUGAGCUUCUGAAAGACGCUGUCUUUAAAGGUUUUGUGCCGGACCGGGUCACAUACUGCUCGCUGAUCAAUGGACUGUGUGCUGAGGGUGAUGUUGAGAGGGCCCUGGAGCUCUUUAGUGAGGCACAAGCAAAAGAUCUGAAGCCUGACCUUGUCGUCUACAACACCCUUGUCAAGGGGCUCUGUCGUCAGGGUCUGAUCUUGCAUGCCUUGCAGAUCAUGAAUGAGAUGGUCGAGGAUGGCUGCCAUCCUGACAUUUGGACAUACAAUAUUAUCAUCAACGGACUAUGCAAAAUGGGAAAUAUUUCAGAUGCGACAGUUGUGAUGAAUGAUGCCAUUGUCAAAGGAUACCUUCCAGAUGUCUUUACCUUCAACACGUUGAUUGAUGGCUACUGCAAGAGAUUGAAGCUCGACAGUGCUCUUCAGCUUGUCGAAAGGAUGUGGACAUAUGCCAUUACCCCUGAUGCUAUUACAUACAACUCAGUUCUGAAUGGUCUCUGCAAAGCAGGGAAGGCCAAGGAAGUCAAUGAAACAUUUGAAGAGAUGGUCCUUAAAGGAUGCCGACCAAAUGCUAUCACAUACAACAUACUGAUAGAGAAUUUUUGCAAGAUCAAUCAACUGGAAGCGGCUUCUGGGGUGAUAGUCAAGAUGUGCCAGGAAGGGUUAGUUCCUGAUGCGGUUAGUUUCAAUACGCUGAUUCAUGGAUUCUGCAGGAAUGGUGAUCUUGAUGGAGCAUACCUACUGUUUCAGAAGUUGGAUGAGAAAGGGUACUCUGCAACAGCUGAUACUUUCAACAUUCUGAUUGGUGCAUAUUCUAGUAAGCUGAAUAUGGAAAUGGCUGAAAAGAUUUUUGAUGAAAUGAUCAGCAAGAGCUAUAAACCUGAUCUGUAUACCUAUCGUGUUCUAAUCGAUGGGUUAUGCAAGGCUGCAAAUGUUGAUCGCGCAUAUGUGCAUCUGACAGAAAUGGUAAACAAGGGAUUUGUUCCAUCGAUGGUGACUUUUGGCCGUGUAAUAAAUGCACUUGCAGUGAAUCAUCGAAUAUCCCAAGCUGUUUCUAUUAUUCACAUCAUGGUGAGAAUAGGAGUUGUUCCCGAGGCUGUUGAUACCAUCUUUAGUGCUGAUAAGAAGGAGAUAGCUGCACCAAAGAUACUUGUUGAGGAAUUGAUGAAGAAGGGUCACAUUAGUUACUCUACUUAUGAAAUUCUCCAUGGAGGAGUGAGAGACACCAGAUUAACUAGAAAAGCUCGAAAGGAAAAAUACAUCUAAUGUGUUUACUUCACCACAUCAGUAAAAAAUCAUGUCAGUAAGCCAAUAGAGCUUCGAUGUAUCUGAGCAUAAGAUCUUAUUAUUGUCCUAUUAGUAGCUGUACACUACCACUUCAGGGCUUCUUUGUUCAGAAUAUGUAGACUAUAUGUUCCUACUUCCUAGUUGUAGGAAUACAAAGGUCCGACAUUUCUAUGUAUGUAUGAAGGCUCAUGGUAGUUCAAGGCACUGCAAUGUUUGAAGUCAGUGUUGGAAGGUGGCCAGUGGCCACUACUAGUAAGAAAUACUUGUGGAAUUGUGAGUAUUUUUCCCAUUUAUAUGACUUGCUUACAGAUCUCAUGGGAAGUGCUCUCAUCUCUCUAUUGGCGUACUUAAAUGCAGUCCCACUCAAAAAUGUUGAUAAAUUUGUUGCAAGUGCUAUUAAACUAUAUAGACAUGUUGUUAGGUCCUGACUCAUUUUGUCAAAUGCUUUCUAUAGCCUGUUAAUGCAGGUUGCUGUGCUCUUCUGACUGAUCUUGUGACAAGAUUCUGAACCACCUCCUGUUUGUUGCUGUUGGUGCUUCUAUAUGUGUCAUAUGCCAUUCAAUAAACAAGGAUGACAGGCAUCCUCCCGUUAGUCACCAUCAGUUCCAAGGCUCUAACCAAUGAAGCUGUAUUCCCUAGUCUGUACCUGGUUGUCUGCUGUCACACGCAUCAAAUGAUACAUCUCAGUGCUGAAGUUAUUCCAUUAGUUUUCUUUGUGCAACCAAACUGGUACUUUUCUACUUUAUCAGUUUUUGCCUGUUUGAGAGGGCAUUCAGGACAAAUUCCAAUUCUAUACAAGCAAAAAAUAAUAAAUAUGGAAAAUCUUUCAGCAUAAAAAAUAAUUAUAGUGUUUUGAUGAGUAAAUCAAGUUCAAAAUGAUUUUUUUGAGAGAUGGACAAACUGAAUUUUAACCACAAAUCAGAAUCAACGUAAUUAAUUUAAACUACAUGUACCAGACUGACAGGGACAAGAAACUUUUAUUUUGUUGACGUUUUCCAAGAUGACCAGCAUGGCCACUUGAGCCUUUUUAAUUAGGCGAUGCUAAUCGAUCCUUAUCAGCUUAUGUCAUGCCAGCAGAAAAAAGAAAGAAUGCUCAAAGGAAGAGAGCACCACAUACUGUCAACCAUCACAACUCACCUACCAAACGUAUGCCUUCACCAAUAAAAUAUUGGGGUAGACAAAUGCAACAUGCUAUGCAAUUGUUUUUGUGCAUUAGUGGUAUUCACUGCAUGAUGCAACUGAUUUAGACUACUCAGCUUCCUCAACCAAUAUUGAUGAUACUGAUGAUGGAAUUGCCUCCAACACCCCCCCCCUCCAAAAAAAGAAAAAAGAAAAAACACGGACUAUGCAAUAUAGUAAUGUGUUGACUUGUUGCAAGAUGUACUCAGAACUAACUCUCUAUUUAUUUCCCCUCAAUUAUAUAUUGAACUUAUUAUUAUUACUUGAUUCACCUCUUGCCACGUGGUCUUGGGUCUGCAGCUACCAACUAAUUUCAUGGAAUGAACACGUUGAAAAACAGGUAUUUUGUAACUUGUCAGUCAUUGGUAAAUCUUGUCAGCAUCGCCACUAUCAACUGCUCAUCAAUCUAUUGUUUUUUCUGCAUUUAAUCUUGCAUGUACUGUUAAUUGUCUGUGGUAAAAGACGUCAUCUAUAUAAUUGCGAUAAGACUCUCCUUCGAUCUCAUAGAGUGAAAGAGCCCAACAGAAUUUUUGGUUUUGGAUUGAAUUGAGAAUUUUAGUUUUAAUUCUCUUUUCUUGCUGCAUAGUGUGUUUUCCCCCUCUGCUGGGCCCAUGCCCUUGUCCAGAUUUCUCCUCCUUAUUUAUCUAAUAUAAUACUGCAGUAGUGGAAUCCCCUACUGUUUCUGCUAAAAAAACUAAAAAUCAAGGUCUCGAGGCAGCUCAUCUCUAGACGUCUAGUGGUGAGAAGGGAACUAACAGGACCCAACGGCCCUCCUGCUCAGCCUAGCUUUCAUUGGUGCCACCUCUUGGGCUUGGUCUCCUCUCGCGCUCUCUGCUUCUUCUACAGAUUGAUUAUAUUCCUGUUUCGGUUCUGUCUAUACCCUCGUAAGAUAUAAUCAUACCUUGUUUGGCUAAAUCUCUUGUUGUGUACCUUCAUAUUUUUGUUUCAUAAUAUCUGAAUCGCAAUCUUUGAUUGUUCUUGCAGUAUGUUCCCCUCCCUUUUGUUUGUGUCCAUCUUUUUUUUGUGAGUAAAAAGGAACAUCAAAUUUAUAGAGCACGAGCUGUUCGUUGAUUUGCCUAAAAGAUGCUCUAUCUGCUAUUUUGCUCCGAACUUUUAAACUUUGGGAGUUAUUUUCUACUGCAUGUCUUCUGAUGUCUGAAUCAUAUACCUGCAGCACCGGACCUUGAGGCUCGUCAGAGUUCAGGAGCUGUUUUCAAGAUGUUGCCUCUUGAAAAUGAGCCUGGUCACUGAAUUUCCUUGAUUUUAUUCCUGCAAGGAGGUUGAAGUGAGGGGAUUAACGAGAAUUAGAAGAGUUAUGGGAGUUGUGCUUCUGGGUUUCUUGGGCCAGCUAAUCAAACGGCGAGCUUCUCUGCGGUGGAAGCAAGCGGGAAGAGCAUCUUACCGCUGCAGCUAGCCUCCUAAUCGUUUUUAACUUCCUUCUACUUAGAUACAUAAUUCUCCUAGUCAAUUCAUGUACCUUUACGCAUGAAAUUUGAUCUGUGGGCACAUUUAAGGGGAUGAGCACACAUAUCAUACAACUGUUACAAGGACUGUGUUCUGAUGGUCUAUGGAGGUAUGCCAUCUUCUGGUCUUUCAAAAGCGAGAUGAAUGGGUGGUAAGUUUAUUUGUUUGUUCCGGCACAAUCGUCGAACUAGCAUGCAUGAAAAUUCAAAGUAUAACUCCAAUUUUUAUACCAAGAUAAAGAAUAACUAUUGCUCACCAUACAAUCUUCAAAUAUGCUCAAGUAACUUCCCACGGCUUAAAUUCAUGGUUGUAACUAGACCUGCUACGGUUGAAUGAGAACAUAGCCAAAACCUUAUACUUGAAGUUGGCAUGGAGCACAAAAUUGGGGGUAUUAAGAAAUUUCUGUUUGUAGCGUUGCUUCAUCUUGCUCUUUGUCUCUUUCAUAAUUGGGUAAAUAUAUCUUGCAGGAUCUUGACUUGGGGGGAUGGCUAUGUUGAUAAAAUGGUAGAAUACAGACAAGUGGGAAAUCUUUCUGCUGUCCCCACUGUUAGUAAGAAUCAGAUUGUACCAUCCUCUUGCUACAACAAAGGCUAUCCAUUUUGCCCCAUUGAGGCAGCACUACUGAGAAUGUCUAGCCAUUUGUACCCUCUUGGAGAAGGGAUUAUUGGUAAAGUAGCGCUUACAGGACAACAUUGCUGGAUUUCUGCCAACGAACUUUGUUCGAUAUCUAUGCAUAAUUACCAAGAAGACUGGCUGCUUCAAUUCGCAGCAGGGAUCAAGACAGUACUGCUUGUACCGGUGGUUCCUCAUGGGGUUCUUCAACUGGGUUCUUUAGAUAUGGUUUUUGAAAGUUCAGCGUUGGUGACACUCAUCAAGGACUUGUUUCAUGAGCUUUACGAUGCUCCGGUUUCUCAUACCUCUUUAUCUGCUGACUCAUAUACUUUGAGGCUACCAACUGCAACUCUAUCAAUCGACCAUCCAGAUGUUAACUUGUUUGAGAUCAAUAGUGCUGCUCAGCUUUUGAAUGAUCAUCUCAGUUUAACUCAACCCUUCACUACAUCAGAAUUUCCAACAGUGGAAGAUAGCACUAUAGGCUCUUACAGAAUUAGUGUAACAGGUGGGCCUGAUGGACUGUUGGGUGGUAACGAAAUCAUGAAGUAUGAAUAUUCCAAUGGCUUUACCCUGACUGAUAUGGCACAUGGAUAUCAAGAGAAUACUUGUGGUGAUGGCAGCACUGUUCUAAAUGAUGGUGUAGUGAUUUCAAGUUCAAUCCAUUCAGAGUUUCACAGGGAUCUCAUGGCAAUGUCCAGGGAAGAACACGAACUCUUCAUAUGGCAUAGUAGGUUGAAGCACACAAGCCCCACACCCCUUCAAGUGAAUGGCGACAAUGCAGACUUUUGCAUGCAGCUUGAAACCAACAAUUAUGCAGAAAUGUUACUAGAUACUAUAAUUGACCAGAUUGGUCAUACGCCAAACAGUGAAUCUUCUCACCCAACUGAUCCUCCACUUUCAUGUGAAAUGAUAAUUAAAAAAGAUAAUGCGCCGAGGAUGGAUGAAUCAUCAGUUCCUGACAUCCCUGGUGGCCAAGAACUUUCACAUAUCCCCAUGAACGAAGGCUUCAUAAGUUGUGCAAUGACUGAUGCUUCGCCUAAAGAAAUCAGCAAGACCACAACUCAAGAAUGCAUAGUUCGAAAUACACAUGGGACAAAUUCAGCUGAAAUAAAAAUAAGACGCGGUAACGUUGAGAGUCAGAGGCCAAGACCAAGAGACAGGCAAUUGAUCCAAGAUAGGAUGAAGGGUUUGAGGGAGCUCAUUCCAAACGCAUCUAUGUGCAGCAUUGAUGCUCUACUGGACAAAACCAUAGCAUACAUGCUGUUCCUCCAGAGCGUAUCCGAGAAAGCUGAGAAGAUCCCGAAUACUACAUCGGAAGACAAGGAGCCCCAUGAUGAGACAAAGAAACAACUUGAAAGCUGCCCGCUGAGAGUUGAAGAGCUUGAUCAGCCUGGCCAUCUUCUCAUUAAGAUGCUGUGCGAGGACUAUGAAGUCUUCCUUGAGAUAGCACAUGUGUUGAAAGGCCUUGACGUGAGCAUACUGAAAGGAGUGUUGGAGCAUCGUUCUGCCAAGCUCUGGGCUAGCUUUGUCAUCGAGGCAUCGGGAGGUUUGGGCCAGAUGCAGAUUCUGUGCCCACUGAUGCAUCUCCUGCACAGGAGAUGGAGUUAGCAUGUCUGUCAGGCUCUGUUUACCUGUCAUUUUAGUGUUUGUGGUUGAUGUGGAUUAGUUAUGCAAACACCUUAGACCGACUGUUUGCUUGGUACUCUACUAUGUACAGCUAAAUAAUGGAUGAAUGCAUUUAGAUCACAAUAUUAUUACCCAAAA